GCGUAGGGUGCGAGCGUUAAUCGGAAUUACUGGGCGUAAAGUGUGCGCAGGCGGCCCUGCAAGUCGAGUGUGAAAUCCCCGGGCUUAACUUGGGAAUGGCGCUCGAAACUACGGGGCUAGAGUGUGGCAGAGGGAGGUGGAAUUCCACGUGUAGCGGUGAAAUGCGUAGAGAUGUGGAGGAACACCAAUGGCGAAGGCAGCCUCCUGGGCCAACACUGACGCUCAUGCACGAAAGCGUGGGGAGCAAACAGGA
rnacentral:rRNA from 1 species